rnacentral:rRNA from 1 species
AUUGAACGCUGGCGGCAUGCCUUACACAUGCAAGUCGAACGGUAACGGGCCUUCGGGUGCCGACGAGUGGCGAGCGGGUGCGUAAUACAUCGGAACGUGCCCGAUCGUGGGGGAUAACGAGGCGAAAGCUUUGCUAAUACCGCAUACGAUCUACGGAUGACAGCAGGGGACCGCAAGGCCUUGCGCGGACGGAGCGGCCGAUGGCAGAUUAGGUAGUUGGUGGGAUAAAAGCUUACCAAGCCGACGAUCUGUAGCUGGUCUGAGAGGAUGAUCAGCCACACUGGGACUGAGACACGGCCCAGACUCCUACGGGAGGCAGCAGUGGGGAAUUUUGGACAAUGGGCGCAAGCCUGAUCCAGCCAUGCCGCGUGCAGGAUGAAGGCCUUCGGGUUGUAAACUGCUUUUGUACGGAACGAAAAGCCUUCUUUUAAUACAGGAGGGUCAUGACGGUACCGUAAGAAUAAGCACCGGCUAACUACGUG